rnacentral:rRNA from 1 species
CCUACGGGGUGCUGCAGUGGGGAAUAUUGGACAAUGGGCGAAAGCCUGAUCCAGCCAUGCCGCGUGUGUGAAGAAGGCCUUCGGGUUGUAAAGCACUUUCAGUGGGGAAGAAAGCCUUGGGGCUAAUACCCUCGAGGAAGGACAUCACCCACAGAAGAAGCACCGGCUAACUCCGUGCCAGCAGCCGCGGUAAUACGGAGGGUGCGAGCGUUAAUCGGAAUUACUGGGCGUAAAGCGCGCGUAGGCGGUCUGAUAAGCCGGUUGUGAAAGCCCCGGGCUCAACCUGGGAACGGCAUCCGGAACUGGCAGGCUAGAGUGCAGGAGAGGAAGGUAGAAUUCCCGGUGUAGCGGUGAAAUGCGUAGAGAUCGGGAGGAAUACCAGUGGCGAAGGCGGCCUUCUGGACUGACACUGACGCUGAGGUGCGAAAGCGUGGGUAGCAAACAGGAUUAGAUACCCCAGUAGUC